AAAAUACAUUCAGGCAGCUGCAUCCUCGCGGCCCCCGCCGCAGCCUGGACCUUGGGAACCAGCAGCCCUGAGCCAGGAAGCCCCAGCAUUCAGGGCCCAGACAGACUCCAAAAUCCCAGACCAGAGGCAGGGAAGGAUGGUGCGAGGAGGAGCCCAGGACCCACACGCCAGGGCCAGCGCCGGCUCCCAGUGGGUGCCUCCUUCCAAGGCUGGAGAGGGAGGCAGAAUGGAGGGCUUCCCAGGUCGGAGCAACUCUACAGGCUGGGCAGGUGGAGGGAAGGGUGCAGGUCAUGUUCUGGAGACCUCCCCGCAGCCUGGAACUGGUUUCUCCUCUGCCUCUCUGCCUGUGGGUGUCCCUGUGCUCUGGUAACACCCCAGGCACCAGCUGUGCCGUCACCAGGCUGCCUGCCCGCCCCUUCUGCCAUCCCCAUCAGCGGGCUGCUUCAGAGCCACGGCCCUUCUGCGGCUACAGGGGCGGAUGCACCCACAGCAUGCUCUGCACUGAGGAGCAGGCAGUGGGCGCUGAUGCCACCUGCCCUGCCGACAGCUCCUCACCCAGCAAGGCCGACCCAGCCCCGGGUGAAAGAGGAGCGAGUGAGGUAGAUUGGGGAGAGGCUGCACCUUCACCCAUGCCUGCCCACAGCACGGCCCCUCCACUUCCUGCACGGGCGCUGGGAACUGCUUUCCAUGGAGCCCCACGGCCAUGACCAGCCCGGUGCUGGGAGAGGACGGCCUGGGUGGUGUGUGUCUGCAGACACGAAGAUCUGGGCACGGGGCCCAGGAAGUGAAUGGCUCAGCCUGGAGUUUCCCCCAGCACUAGAAGCAGAGCUGCCAAGGGCUGCAGCUGUGGAGAACAUGGGAUUUGAGGAAGGCGGGAGUCUUUUCCGUCAUACUUUGUGAGCAGGCAGAUGUGCCAGGGGAGACGGAAGAUAAGGAAUGUGCGUUUAGCUUUAAUGUCUGUUAAAUAGGUUGGGAAAAACAGGCCGAGUGUGGGGACCUGACUCCUGCAAAGGGCCUACUGCAGCCCUCUGCACUCAAGCAGCAGCCCCAUCCAGACCAGGAGCGUUCUGUUCUCCGGGCAGACAGGGCUGACAGGUGUAGGACGGCAUCUCUUUCCUUUGGAGUGUGGGCUGGGGUCAGAGGAGAAACAGCAACUUCCUGCUCCUUCUCGCUGUGUCGUUGGUUCACCGUAGACCACGUCCUGCAUUCCCUCUGAUCCUCUCAUGGGGAGAGCCCUGGACCUUCUGGUGGUGUCCCAGCUGGGUGUGUUCAAGGCUGCCACCCUGCUGGGGGCAGCUGGCCCGCAGGGAAGGGCCAGACAGCACCUCUCAGUGGAGACUGAAUCUUCCUUCAGGAGGCUGCCUCCAGGAAAGACCUGGGGUCCUCCCUGCGCUCAGCGCUGGCUGGCUGUCCUGUUCAUGCAGUGGAAGACGUUACAGAAGAAUUCAUACCAGAAGAACAUGAAGCCUGUGGAGAGGGCAGCCUUCAGCAAGCUGGGGGACAGGCCCUUGAAGAAGCCCAGGGCACCUUCCUUUUGCAGCACCUGCUUGGCACAGUCCAUGAGGCCCUUGUAUCUGCGCACCUGGGGAGAGGAAAGGGAUGAAAACAUGGAUGUCCACUCUGCUCCCAUCAACACAGCCCGUGGCACAUCACAGCUCUUAAGAAGUACUUGCUGGACAAAGGAAUGAAUGCAAAAUAGCAAAUGUUUUUAUUUUCUUUUUUCUUUUUUUUUUUUUUGAGACGGAGUCUCGCUGUGUCUCCCAGGCUGGAGUGCAGUGGCGUGAUCUCGGCUCACUGCAAGCUCCGCCUCCCGGGUUCACGCCAUUCUCCCGCCUCAGCCUCCCAAGUAGCUGAGACUACAGGCGCCCGCCACCACACCCGGCUAGUUUUUUUUUUUUGUAUUUUUAGUAGAGACGGGGUUUCACCAUGUUAGCCAGGAUAGUCUCGAUCUCCUGACCUCGUGAUCCACCCGCCUCGGCCUCCCGAAGUGCUGGGAUUACAGGCUUGAGCCACCGCGCCCGGCCUAUUUUAUUUUUUUCAUUGAGGCAGAAUUUCUCUCUGUUGCCCAGGCUGGAAUGCAGUGGCACAAUCUUGGAUCAUUGCAGCCUCCGCCUCCCAGGUUCAAGCGAUUCUCCUGCCUCAGCCUCCUGAGUAGCUGGGAUUACAGACACACACCACCACCCCCGGCUAAUUUUUUGUAUUUUUAGUAGAGAUGCAGUUUCGCCAUGUUGGCCAGGCUGGUCUUGAACUCCUGACCUCAGGUGAUCCACCUGCUUCAGCCUCCUAAUGUGCUGGGAUUACAGUCGUGGGCAACCAUGCCCAGCUCAAAAUAGCAAAUAAAUUAAUCUCAUUCUUUGUACUGCAAUUAGGUUAAGACUGAAUAGCUGACAGGCCUAGAAAUCAGCAGCUGGACAGACCUCCUUCCUGCCCAGGAAGAACGGCUGCCUGUGGCUCCAAAGGAUCCAGCAAUGGCUCCGGAACCUCUUCCCAGAGGUGUCUCUGACCCUUCACCUCAUCCCACCUGAUCCCCCUUGGGCAGCAGAUCUGAACCUGGCCCUCAGUAGCUCUCAGCCAGGCCUCCCUGCCUCCAGCUCACCCUCUCCAGCUGACCUCAUGCACUGCUGCCAGACUUUCGUCCCCAGGCACAGCCCUCCUCAGGCCUGGCUUCCCUCCAAAAGCUGCAGUAACUCAUAGUGACAACAUCAUGAGAAAUCAAGUUCAAACCCCAAGAUCUGCCAUUCAAGGCACUGCACCAUUUCGCCUUGAUUUCCCUCCAUGAUCUGACCUCCACUGUCCUCCCACAUGCCCUUCCCACCUCUGGCCAGACUGGAUUACACUAGUCUUCGUUAGCAGCAAGGCCUCCCUCUGCCAUCCUGGGCUCCCACCAUCACUCCCUGUCCAAAUUCAAACUGUCCCUUCAUGCUGGGUGCAGUGGUGCAUGCCUGCAGUUCCAGCUACUUGGGAGGCUGAGAGGGGAGGAUCGCUUGAGCCCAGGAGUUCGAGACCAGCCUAGGCAACAGAGUGAUGUCCCAUUUAAAAAAAAAAAGAAAAGAAAACAAACUCUUCAGGACAAGUUGGUAAGUGGAAAAGGGAGGUUACAAACCUUGUAUACAGUGUAUCCCCAUUUUUGUUAAAAUGUACACUGUAUUUAUGAAAAGAAAUAAAACUACAUUGAACGUUU